AAAUAUUCAAGGAAUUCCUUUAACCAGUGUUGGGUUUUAUUUGUUUCUUUGUUUUAGCUGAUAUCCUUGUGGAGUCUUGAGUCUUCCCACAUUGGAUCAGACUGCUGUCCCAGGGGUUGAUAUUAAGCAAAGAUGCCAAGUGGAAGUUCAAAUUCUUUGGUACUUUUGAAGCUUGAAAAGAGCUCCUGCAACCAAUAUAUAAUGGGGGGAGAACUAGACGACAAGGUACCCCCCAAUGCAAUAAUUCCUCUUCAAGGAUUAUUCAAGUGGCAUAUCAGAUUUGCUCCAAUCCCUGAUGUGAUACCUUGAUAGUUCAGAGAAGAAGCUUAUAGAGUAACUGAGUUCUGGCAGAGAAAGACUGAGAUGCAAGUAAUGAGACAAAGAGAUGAGCUUGGGUUCACAAAGGAACAUUUGGAGGAAAAAUCUCUGCAAGUGCCAAUGUAUGACUGUGAGAGAUGGACUUCAAAGAAAGAUAUGAGUCACAGAAUCAAUACUUUCAAUUUGUGGUGCUUCACAAACCUUUUCAGCCUCCCCUGGAUAUCAAGGAGAUCAAAUCAGUCAAAACCUAAAGAAAAGAUUUCAGAGUAUUCACCAGAAGGUCAAAUGCCAAUGUACAUUAUGAGAGGGCAGGAAUCAUUGGAAAAGACUCUGAUGUUGGGAAAGAUCAAAAGCAAAAGAAGAGGAGGAGACAGCUAUAUACUGUCAAGAAAGCAAUGAAAGUCUUCGAUUUGACUUUGGAGGGGCUUGGGCUUGAUAUCUCAGACUACUUCCCUUUGGACUGACAAGUGGUGAGUGAAGAACUGACUCCCUUUCCUUGGAUUUCUAAAGGGACUAGCCUCAGGAGAGAUCUACCCUUUUGAGAGAGGCUCCCCGUAUCCCCAGGUCCUUGACUCAAAGCUGAGGCCCCUUCGGCUAAGGUUUAACUAGCCCUGCCUGGGUUGAGCCAGGGUCAGACCAAAUACUUAGUUUGUAACCUAAAUAUUUUGCCCUAUCCUCUCUCUGAUUUUCUUACUUUCACUCUUUCUAGAUUUUAUGAAUAAAUUAUCAAAAUAAAUCUCUUUGGAAUCA
rnacentral:lncRNA from 1 species